GAGCAGUCGAAGCUAUCCAUGAAAAUCUACUCUAUCUCAAGGACAGAGAAGCAGAUAUGAGGACGGUCAGCGAGAAGACAAACGCACGAGUUGCGUGGUAUAGCGUCAUGUCCUUGGGUGUCUGCAUUGUUGCUUCUACUAUACAGAUAUGGUACUUGAAGCGAUUCUUUCAGAAGAAAAAACUUAUUUAGAGAGUCUACUGUUCUUUCAGAAAGAGAAUUUGUUAACUUAUUUAGUUUUAUUUCCUCAUACGAAGU
rnacentral:misc_RNA from 1 species